rnacentral:tRNA from 2 species
UCUAAUAUGACAGAAUUAAUGUAAUGAAUUUAAGCUUCAUCAAUAAAGAUUUUUAUCUUUUUUUAGAA